rnacentral:misc_RNA from 1 species
UUAAGUUCAGCGGGUAUCCCUACCUGAUCCGAGGUCAACCAGAUGAAGUUCGUGGUUGAGACUGAGGCGGAGAAUCUGAGACGCGUGCUGAAAAGCUCGCUGCGUCCAGAGUUCUCGACACGACUCUGCCAUUAUCUUUCGAAUCCACCGGCAUCGGUGAAGACUCAACAGCAAGCCGGGCUUGAAGGUUGAUAAUGACG